rnacentral:rRNA from 1 species
ACUCUCGGCAACGGAUAUCUUGGCUCUCGCAUCGAUGAAGAAACGUAGCA